rnacentral:rRNA from 1 species
GUGGGGAAUCUUCCGCAAUGGACGAAAGUCUGACGGAGCAACGCCGCGUGAGUGAUGAAGGUCUUCGGAUUGUAAAGCUCUGUUAAUCGGGACGAAAGAGCCUAGUGUGAAUAAUGCUAGGAAGUGACGGUACCGGAAUAGAAAGCCACGGCUAACUACGUGCCAGCAGCCGCGGUAAUACGUAGGUGGCAAGCGUUGUCCGGAAUUAUUGGGCGUAAAGCGCGCGCAGGCGGAUCUGCCAGUCUGUCUUAAAAGUUCGGGGCUUAACCCCGUGAUGGGAUGGAAACUACAGGUAUAGAGUAUCGGAGAGGAAAGUGGAAUUCCUAGUGUAGCGGUGAAAUGCGUAGAUAUUAGGAAGAACACCAGUGGCGAAGGCGACUUUCUGGACGAAAACUGACGCUGAGGCGCGAAAGCCAGGGGAGCGAACGGGAUUAGAUACCCUGGUAGUCC